AAGCUAUCAUUGCAGGGGUAAUUGAACGUGGCUGUGCUAGUUGUUCUCAGAUGGUUAGAUUAAAUUGGCUACCUACUGGAAUUGCUCAAAAUUGAGUUGAAUAAAUUGAGUUGUUUCAUUUGAUGUUGUCCUGGGUUUGUCAGUGGUUUGUUUUGGCCAUAAAAGAACCUUCCAAUGUAUCUGGCUCGAUUAGCUAGUUAGCUUACCUUAGGAGGUGUAGGCCUGCUGCGGUUUCAAAAUUGUCGAGAAGACAAAGCAAUCUGUUCAUAUUAGCUAGUGAGUCAUAUCGUUAUAAAUUGCCCUCAGUGCAAAUACAAAUAUUGUUAAUAUUUUACACAUCUACAAACUAUAUUUAUAUGAAUAAUAAAGGCAAUUGGGAUUGAUAAUGGUGACAUUUUGCUGGGCAGCUCUCCCUGAAUAUAAGCAGAAGACUCAACCCUAUAGUUUAAUUCUUGUAGAGGGUGAUGCAUUUCGCCGCACGAAUCAUUUGAUUUUUAGAAGAUAACAUUGUGUGCUGUUGCGUUUUUUUGGAAGGGUGUUCAAAAGGAUGCAGUAAAUCCACCAUGAUCGUCGCCAUAGAAUGUGUCACGGGCCUAGCUGAGGGGGCCGCCGUAGCCUAUAUGUUAUUUUUUUCCAACAGGAAUGUCAGGGGGUGGUAUCGUUGCUAUGACGACAACCUUCUCGGGACAAGGACGUAGCUUUCUAGCCCGAAGGACCACUGUCAGCAGAACAUCAGCCAUAUCAAACGCCACAGUGAAGAAACAUAAUGUACUCGUUGCGAAAAUUAAGCUGUGGGGCUUCGGAUUGAAGUAUUCCAAAGUCUGUGGUUGCGACCUUUAUCAUCACUUAUGGCGGCCUGAGUUGAUACAAUGUUGCCUACAAUGCCCUGCGCCCGGUUGAUGAUAGAUCCUGCUUCUCAAAGACCAGCAGUGGAUUCUGUAUGACUUGUAAAUACUAGACCGUGGCAGUCAGAGAGUGUCAUUGGCUAUCUUGGACAGUGGGACGAUUGUCUUGUUGUCAUGGGAACACUGUGGCAUGGCUGAAGGAGACAUUGUUGCUCACAAGACAAUUGAUGGUGAAAUAAAAGGCAGUGUGCCCAAACUGUUAAAAUAA